rnacentral:rRNA from 1 species
UACGUAGGGUGCGAGCGUUGUCCGGAAUUAUUGGGCGUAAAGGGCUCGUAGGCGGUUUGUCACGUCGGGAGUGAAAACUCAGGGCUUAACCCUGAGCCUGCUUCCGAUACGGGCAGACUAGAGGUAUGCAGGGGGAGAAUGGAAUUCCUGGUGUAGCGGUGAAAUGCGUAGAUAUCGAGAGGAACACCUGCGGCGAAGGCGGGUUGCUGGGCUGAUACUGACGCUGAGCGCGAAAGCUAGGGGAGCGAACGGG